rnacentral:rRNA from 1 species
AAAUUGAAGAGUUUGAUCAUGGCUCAGAUUGAACGCUGGCGGCAGGCCUAACACAUGCAAGUCGAACGGUAGCACAGAGAGCUUGCUCUCGGGUGACGAGUGGCGGACGGGUGAGUAAUGUCUGGGAAACUGCCUGAUGGAGGGGGAUAACUACUGGAAACGGUGGCUAAUACCGCAUAACGUCGCAAGACCAAAGAGGGGGACCUUCGGGCCUCUUGCCAUCAGAUGUGCCCAGAUGGGAUUAGCUAGUUGGUGAGGUAACGGCUCACCAAGGCGACGAUCCCUAGCUGGUCUGAGAGGAUGACCAGCCACACUGGAACUGAGACACGGU